rnacentral:rRNA from 1 species
UACGGGGGGGGCAAGCGUUGUUCGGAAUUACUGGGCGUAAAGGGUUCGUAGGUGGCUUGCUAAGUCAGACGUGAAAUCCCUCAGCUUAACUGGGGAACUGCGUCUGAUACUGGCGAGCUUGAGUGCAGGAGAGGAACGCGGAAUUCCGGGUGUAGCGGUGAAAUGCGUAGAUAUCCGGAGGAACACCGGUGGCGAAGGCGGCUUCCUGGACCGACACUGACGCUGAGGCGCGAAAGCUAGGGGAGCAAACGGG